AAAAGCAAGCUUUCCCUCAGGUGUCGCCAAAAGGUUCCCAGGAUGAGGAUCAGCAUGAAAAUAACCAUACUCAAGCAGCUGUCUGAGACUGCAUUGGAUGCCCGUAUUUACCAGAUCCAAAACCUUUAGCCCUUGCCUCUCAAUAGCUUCUUGCUCGUUCAACUUGACACCUUCAACCCACUCCAUCGUUAAUACCUUCCCACUUGUGUAGUCCCAAAAAAUAUCGGGAACAAGAACAUCUUCUUUGUCAGCGUACAACUUUUUAAAUCUCCUUGCAUUCUGCCCUUCCUGUACAUAGUUGAGCUCUUGAUAAACUCUG
rnacentral:misc_RNA from 1 species